ensembl:lncRNA
GCCUUGCAUUUAAUAACCCUCUAGGGCUAAGACAGCUUUGUGUGUAAGUCCACUCGGUGCCAUAUGGCAGUUUUCAAUUCCUUUAGCAACUCAAUUCUAGCUAGACUGCCCGCAAUGAUUCAUUCUUAAAGGAAGACCCCUUGGGGCUCAGUAAUGCCCCCUCCACUUACCUAGCUCCCACCGACCCCGCUCGGCAGGCGGCUCGGGCUCCACAAAGAGCUGUGGGAUUCCCCGCUCCCUCCGGGGCUCCUCUCCCCGCGACGGUCCCCUUCGCCAAUGAUCUGUCGCUGGAAAUCCCCCUCCCCUCCACGGAGAGGAGGGUCUCCCCGGCUGGCUGGAGCUCUUGCCUUUUUUUUUUUUUUCCACCCUCUCUUUACAUGCCUGACUCUGGUUCACGAUCUCUAGUAGGAAGGCUCAACGGAGAGGCGGCGGGAGGAAGGAAGCUAAGGCAUCCUUAAAAAGAACAAUAAUCUUCAGAGAUCUUCACCCCCUUCCCCAUCGCGGGUCCCCAUUCCCCUGCCGCCGCCGGCGGCGCCCAGACCAGAGAGGGCUGGGAUAGAAAAGGAAAAAAAAUCGAGCCGGGCUCAGCUCGCCGCGCGGAAGGAGCCGGGAAGGCGAGCGGCUCCAGCCGGGGGAGUUGUCGCUCGCUCGGGCUGCCCGCGGCGCGGCGGCCGGCGGGGGCGCAGGGCGGUGGGUGCUUGGUGGGUGUGUGUCUGUGGCGGAGCCGGGGAGAGGCUGGGCGCGGGAGGCGAGGCGGGGCGCUCGGGGGCGCCGGCUCGGGCGCGCACACCCGCCCGCGGCCACCCCGCCUCGCGCUCCGCCUCCUCCCGCGCUCCGCGCGCCCGCGGACUGGAGCGGCGGCCGCCGCCGCCGCCGCCUUCUCCUCCUCUUCCUGGGCGCCCGCAGCUCUCGAGAGAACUGUGCCAAGUUCCUCCUUGGAGAGGCAGCCAGAUGGACACCCAGAACUUUCCGUAUCUUCGUGUCGAGGAUGAAAAUCUGGUUAAAACAAAUGUAGACGUUGACAAGCACAAUCUACAAAAAGGAGAGAAAAGGAAAAGAAAUAACCUAUUGGUGGUCCUCAAAGGGAUGGAGUAACAUCAAGAAGGGCUUCCCAGAUGGCUCAGUGGUAAAGAAUCUACUUGCUAAUGCACGAAAUGCAGGUUUGAUACCUGGGUCAGGAAGAUCCCCAGAGAAGAAAAUGGCAACCCAGUCCAGUAUUCUUGCCUUGGAAAUCUCACGGACAGAGGAACCUGCCGAGCUACAGUCCCGAGGGUCGCAAAAGAAUGGCACACGACUUAGUGACUAAACAACAACAACAACAAUAUCAGGAAAAGGUAAUUCCACAUUCAAGAAUUUGAGAGGUCCAGCAUACGCACUUUUCUAGAGUUAUCAUAUUCAUUAGCACCCUAAAGGCCCUGAAAAAUUCUGCCAUUAAGAAACAUUUUACUCUGAUUAAUCUGGUGUGGAACACUCUUUCUCUUUUUCUUAAUUAACAAAAUGUUAAUGUUAUACUCAAGACUAUUUGGGAAGAGUGAUUCUGUUCUAAUCACUAAAUGCAAUAGAAUAUUUAGUGAGCUAGUUCAACUUCUCCCAGCUGGUUGAUAGCAGAGCUGGGGCUAAAAUCAAGUCUCUGAACUUUUAUUCCAAUGUUUUUCUUUCCACUGUAA